GUUCGGUCUCUUCCACCAUAUUUCCCUCGUGUUCAGUACACUGAAAGGGUAAACUAAAGAAUACCAUCAUGGCUGAUGCAGAAGGAAAAGCAACUGAGGCUGUUGAGGAUGUUGAUGAAGUAGAAGAAGUUGAAGAGGAGGAAGGUGGAGAUGUUGUUAAUGUCUCGCCUCCUGGACUGGUAGGUCUAUUGAAGAGUCCUCAGGUUCUGGCAGCUGUACAGGAAAGACUAGACUUUCUUCAAGGUGCACCCUCAGGCUACAUUCAAAGUUUACCCAAAUCAGUUAAACGUAGAAUCAAAGCCUUAAAGAAACUGCAAUUUGAAGCAGCCAAGAUAGAGGCAGAGUUCUACAAAGAGGUGCAUGACCUGGAAUGCAAAUAUGCAUCGCUGUACACACCACUCUUUGAUAAGAGGAAAGAUGUUGUGACUGCAGCAAAGGAACCAACAGAUGAAGAAUGUGACUGGCCCAGUGAUGACGAAAAGGAAGAGAAAGAUGAUGUAAAAUUAGCUGAAGAUGUUAAGAACAAAAUCAAAAUAGAUGAUGCUGAAAAAGCAGAGGAGAAAACAGACAAUGAAGGUGCCGACGUCAAAGGAAUUCCUGGUUUCUGGUUAACGGUGUUCAAAAAUGUAGAGAUGCUUUCUGAGAUGAUUCAGGAUCAUGAUGAACCAAUUCUAAACUGUCUACAGGAUGUUAAAGUUAAAUUUUCUGAAGUAGAAUCAACUAUGGGAUUUGUUCUGGAAUUUUAUUUUGAAACAAAUGACUUUUUCACAAACACUGUUUUAACUAAACACUAUACAAUGAAAUCUGAGCCAGAUGAAACGGAUCCAUUCUCUUUCGAGGGCCCAGAGAUUGUGAAAUGUGAAGGUUGUCAAAUAGAUUGGAAAAAGGGCAAAAAUGUAACUGUGAAAACCAUUAAAAAGAAACAAAAACACAAAGGACGGGGUACAACACGGACAGUCACAAAAACAGUACAGAAUGAUUCAUUCUUCAACUUCUUCUCACCUCCCACAGUACCGGAAGGAGAGGAAGAAGAUAUGGAUGAAGAUCUGGAAGCACUCUUAGCAGCAGACUUUGAAAUUGGUCACUUUAUACGUGACCGCAUUGUGCCUCGGGCUGUUUUAUACUUCACUGGGGAAGCUUUAGAAAAUGAUGAUGAUUUUGAUGAGGAAGGAGAGGAAGAGGACGGAGAAGAUGGAGAAUAUGAUGAGGAUGCAGACCCUGAUUACAAUCCACAGGUAAAUUGAUGUGACCUCUCUUGUCAUAUGCACAUGCUUCCGUGCAUGUGCAUUACGUACACACAGAGUGAUUCUCAAAAACCGGAGGAAUGCAAACAACAGUGAUUUUGAAAAGGUGCGAGCAUAAAAAUAUAUAAGUUAUCAACAAAAUCAAUUCCAGGAUGUGUGAGAUAAAUUUUCUGCAAGUAUUGGAAGACAACAAUGACAAGAGAAAAAUAAAUUCAAAUGAAAAAAAAAGACUGAUGCAAGAUUGCCAGAUUUGAAGAACCGGCAAUAACUUUUGUUAUAGUGCUGAUCAACCUUCACCUCAGCUGUGUUUUACCUUGGCUAGUGAUGACCUUUUUUUUUCCUUUUUUUUUUUCGUGUGUGUUUUAGGCUGGCAUACCAGCUAAUUGUGCUGUCAUCCUCCAAGACCCGCCUUGCCUCAUAUAAAAGCAUAUUCAUGUCCCCCAUAGCUGUUUACUUUGUGUUUAUUUAAAAACUUUUGUCCCAUUUCAAUCACAUUCUUUUCUGAUGGCAGUAAAAUCAUUGUGUUACUUUCUCUAUUUACCUAUUUUUAUCAGUUAUGGACACAGAGAGGCAGUUUUAUUUUAAAAGAUUUAUUAUGGGAAGCCUGCGGAGGCAUAGCAAAUUUGGGGAAACUUGAAAAAGUCAGAGUGAUUGUUAAAAAAUAAAGAAAUUGAUCAUGAACUACCUGAUGUAUAUGUGAUAUGGUAUUUUGAAUGUAUUUUGUUUAAAUAGUUGCAAUAUGUCGAGAUAAUAUUGAAGACUUUAAAUAUACAACUGGAAUAUUGGUGUAUAGAUCUUAAUGUAAAUCAUGUAUUUUCCUACAUAACUCAACAACUACAUGUUACAUUGGUAAUUAUUGUGCAUAAGAUAAUAUUGCAUUAUUUUUGUGAAGAUUUUGUUGUAUUGUUUCACAUGGAAGUUUGUGCCCAUUUCUAUGUAUUGGUGUGACAAAAGUAUUAUGGAAUGAAAGGCUUGAAACACAUUUUUAAGUGCGGUUUGACAUAUAGAAGAAACAGAUCUUAUAUAUUUAAAUUACAUGUCUUGUUGCUAAUUUCAUUUCACCCUUGUUAUUAAUAAAGUACGUCCACAACUGAUGAAGUAUCUGGGCUUUUCCAAUUAAAUUGUAUAGGAAGAUUUUGAGCUUAAUCCCUGAAACCAGACAUCAUUCAUCAGCUGGAUAUUUAAUAUUAAAUUUGUUCUGCGAUCAAUGAUAGUGUGUGUAUCCGAUUUAUCACAAAACUUCUUUCGAUAAUGACUGGCUGUUGAUAUAAAAGUUUGGAAUAUAUAUAAAAUCUGCAUGUUUCUAUGAAAUUCUUUACCUUGUCUAAGCGAUUUUGAAAUAAUGCUAAACUGGUUGUUGUCUUUUUAUACAAAUAACUAGAAUAACCCUCAAUAACAUUUAUAUGUUUAAUGUUCAUACAACAUAAAAUACAGCAAAUUAUUUUUUUAUUUUUUUUAGUAAGUUGAUUUAGGAUUUCAAUAUGUAAGUUUGAAAUGUUUAAUUCAGGAAAGAUUUAAUUUGAAAAGAAGCCCAGCCACCACUUGCCUUAAUGUUUUGUUCACUUUAGGCUCUCAUAACUCUCCUAUCAAUAUAUAAAUAUGACCAUAUAACUGUCACUUGAUCAGUUGUCUGCAUCCAUUUUGUACAGUAAACUACUAGCAUAUCCCAUGGAUACAUGCAAGAUUUCUGCUUUGCCGCAUUUCAGUUGUCUUUAUACAAUUCAUUUUAUACAUAGAUGAUCAUAAGAACAAAAAAUUCUGUGUCGUAUCUUGUCAUUUUCAUUUACAGGUUUUUCGCUCAGUAAAUUGACAGGAAAACCAGUAGAUAUCUUCUACCUAUAACAGAUUGUGUUUCACCAGUAAAUAUUUAGCUGUAUUCCUGGUGUAGUGUAGACUAUAAUUUAUGCUAGUCUGCUGUUUAGUUUUAAAGUAACAAGUCUGAACGAUGAGCAUUCUUGGAUAAGAGAAUUGGAAUGCUGAAUUGAACGCUUUAAAAUGUGUGGUGCUGUGUUUGUUUUUCACUUUAAAUUACAAAAGUUUCAUUUGAAGAAAUCAAAGAAAUUUGUAAAUUGUAUGUGAUGAAAUUAGGAUUCUUCACGUACUGGCUUCUAUGUCGUCAUUUUAGAUGAAUGUUCAUGUAAAAAAAAUUGAGAUUCUCAUUAAUAGUAUUUAAUACUUUUUGUAAUUAUUUUCUGGCAGAUAGUUGUACCCAUUCGAUUUGAGUCUGAUCCAGAAUUUUUUUUCAAACUUCAUUAGUAGGUUUUCCUUGGUCCCUAGUUGUGGUCAUUUGAUUUUGAGACUGAUCCAGAAACAAAAUGGCCACCAAAUUGCAAGCAGCCAUCUUUAUUUUUGACAGUUGAAGUUUGGUAUCGCUAUUUCUUUUUCACAGAAAGUUCUUUACCUCUCUCUCAGAUUUCAUAUGUAGGUUUUCCUUGUUGUCAGAUGAUUAAAAGGAAAAUGAGAAAUAAAGGAAAAGUAGAGAAAAGAUCGGUCUUAAAUACAAUCAAUCAAGAUUAUUUAACGAGGGGCACCAAGAUCCCACUGGGAUUUCUUGUAUUUGUUAUUUCAGAUAAGAUAAUUAAAUAAAGCUCAUAUUGUGAGUGUAGGUCCCCAUCCAGAUGGAUGAUUUAUACUUAAGAGGAGAGUCGAAUAUAUAUAAUAAUUGAUUAAGAGUUCCGCAGUGAAAUAGGGAUAGAAACGGAUCUGAAGGAGGAGGAGCAAAUGAAGAAGCAACCGUCCAAAACACUGAAAACAAGUGCUGCACUGGUGAUCAUAAGGACAAGAAAUACACCAGCCAUUUCUGAAUACCAACGAAAACGUUACCAUGGAAUUCUUAUGAGAUCAAACCUUUGUGUCUAUGUAUCGAUACAAAUACAUUUAAAGGUAUUAACAAAAUGGCAGACUUUGGUCCUAACCCUCCUGGAACAAAAUGCAAGGUGCCCACAUGUGACCAUUUUGAAAUUGACAUUUAAAGUAUGUUAUUUGCUAUUUCUGAGAAAUUAAUUUAUUCAUAGAUCGUUCCUGAAUUUCAGAAGUAGAUUCCUCUAGUGUGAGUUGAAGCUGUUAACCUUAUUUCUCAGAGCUCUUGAUGGAUCUUUCAGAUUUUAUAUCCAGGUUCACCAUAUUUGCAAAUGAUGAACAUGAGGAAGAGAAACGAUUAGACUUAUGGUCAUUUGAUGAUGGGCUCCAUGGUCCCUCUAGGAUCUCGUUAAUUCUUUGAAAUCGCACAGAUAUUGAAGCCAUCUUUCAUAAUUAUGGUAUAAUGUGUAUGUUGUGAUACUUUUAAGUGGUAAAAUGUAUUGAUAUUUGUAAACGGAAACUGCAAAGGACAAAGAUACACUAAACGUGACCGGGACCAGUAAGCUUUGUACUCUGUGGUCAAGAUUUACAAUAUUAGACAUUUACAGAUCUGAAAGAUCAACGUCCCUUAAACGAUAACUGCAAUUAGGAUUCCUCAACUGUACAGUAUACAACAGUAGAUCAGUGUUUGAAAAAAAACUGUGAGAAAAAUAAUUACAAUCAAGGCGCACUUAUGGGCAGUUAUCAAAGGAUCCUGUUAAUUAAAAGCCUGUUUUAUUUCAGCUUAUUGAUGAUUGAGUUCUUUAGUUUGAGUAUUUUUUUUAUAUGGAUAAAAAGGGCAUUCGUUACAAGUUGAUUAAGGAAUAAAGGACUGGAUAUCUAAAGCAUAAUAUCUGCAUUGUAAUUACUUGCAACAAAAUCAGUUUGUUGUAUCCAGAAAUUUACAAAUAAUUUUUCAAGUAUUAACACAAAUUAGGACAGGCCGGUGGUAUAGUUUGUCAUUUAAUUUUGAAUAUUAAAUACCACACAUCUGGUAGUUGAAGCAUGUGGCCUGCAGCUUAGAUUUGUAGAGAUCUACAGCUACCUAACACUGAAAAUGGCAAGUUUGUAGCAUAAUGUCUUUUUUUUUUUUCUUUAAUGAUUAUUUCAGAUAAUCAAGUACAUGGUUUUGGCUGGCAAUAGGAUUUGUUUGUAGAAAUGUCUCGGACAACAAACCUGUGUUCAUGUGAAGAAUUAUGAUUUAAAUCGUGCCGAUAACAAAAGGUUAACGGUUAGUUGUAGACAAACUCUCAUGAUCUGCAUAUAUCCAGAAGCAAAGGUUCGGUUUAUUUUCAGAAGGGAGGUUAAAUGAUAACAAAAAGACCUGGUGUUAAAAUUUGAUGACAUAUUCAUCUUUAUUGUGUAAAGAUUCCGUAACCACCUUACAUGUCAUGUGUAGUAUAAAGUAUGCUUACAAUAUAGUUUUGUCUGUUCAGUAACAACAGUAUCUUUGGAAGUGAUGACUUGGUCAUUUACUUUUUUUUCACCUGUACUUCAUUGGAAUGUGAUUUAAAUAAAGGUACUUAUAUAACAACUGUUCAGUAUCUUUGGAGAUUAUGACUUGGACAACAUUUUUUUUUUUUUUUCACUCGGACUUUAAUGAGAUGUGAUUUAAUUUAACCAAUGUACUUCAUGUAGAUAUACGAUUGUAAUGUAUUGUGUCAUCAUUCUCAUUAGCAUUUUUGUACUUAUAUUAUUAACAAGUAAAUCAUCAGGGAAUACGAGUCAUUUGUGACAAGGAAAGUCUCCAGUCUAACAUAAACAUGUAUUGUAGUGGUAAUUGCCAUUUGUUAGAAGCCCUAUGGAGUGUAGGCAUUGAAAACAUACAUUUUACCUGACUGAUUGGUGAAGACAAUGACAAAUCGAAGUUAUACCUUCAAUUAAUUUUCUCAUUACAUGAAAAGAUUUCUAUCUACAACAACUUUGUAUCAUUAUCAAACACUACUUGCCCACUUGGCCCUAAAUUAUGCUGCUCCAAGUUGGAACAUUUACACCAACACAUGAAACCUAGCAAUAGGUGGUAAACAAGCAACUAACUAAUUUACAAUUAAAAAUUGGAACCUGUUUAUUUUGAAAAUGGUCCCAGCAAUAUCAUUUGAUUACUUUUCAACGUAAUGAAGAUAAACAUGCUCACAGCUUUCAGGAUUUUUCUAUCACAAAGGUAUUUUGUUUUUGCUUGAUAAUGUUUCUAAACUGUUUAGAUGUACAGUUGUAGUAGGCAAGAGGGCACUAUACAAUUAAUAAUGUAUAUAAUAUUGCCGACGAGCAAUAAAGUCAAUGAAAUGCUUGUUUUAAAUCAGUGUUCAAAUAUAGCAUGUUAUAUACACUGGAAUCUUGUUGUGUUGCUUAGUAAUGUCUGGCCGUUAUCAGUUGGAUGAUGACAAGUUAUUAUGUAUACAACUAUUUAAUGUUUUGAAAAGAAAAUCAGAUAAGUUGUUUACUGAAUUUGAUAUUUGGGAUAGGAUGAUUUUCGGGUACAAUGUUGUGAAUUGUAUCACUUCAGGUUUCUGGCCAUUAUUAAAAUAUCAAAACACUCGUA